GGGGAUAUAGCUCAGCUGGGAGAGCGCCUGAAUGGCAUUCAGGAGGUCAGCGGUUCGAUCCCGCUUAUCUCCACCA
rnacentral:tRNA from 4 species